UUUUUCCAUCAGGAUGAAGAAUCAAGUAACUUCUGCAGAGCACAGCUAUAGGUAUCCUGCAGCUUCCUUCCUUCAAAUGCAAAGGCAAAACUGCAGCAGCAGCCAAGAAGUGCUCCUUACAGUUAGGUUUUACUCAUUUACAGAGGCCUGAUUUGCUCAGGAAACAAACAAACAAGCAAACAAUGGAUUAUUUAGCUGCAAAUGGGAGCAAGUCUGCCUGCUGUUACAUUUGCAAACCCCAAAAGAUUUAUUAGGAGACACCAAAAAAAGGUGAGUGUUUUCUGCACAAAGCUUGGCAGAACAUACUGUAUGAAUAACUGAGUGACCUUUCAAAUAUUUACACAUACAUAGGAGCCUGCAUGGAGGCUGCUUUUGCUCCUUCACCCACUCUCAAGUUUUCCUCCCAAAAAUGAUGAAUUCAGUUGCAGCAGGUAGAGAAACGUGGAGUAUGUUUUUUUAACAAACUGGCCAUGGCCAAGAACAAUAGCCGAGAAAUAUAGGAAAACACGGACAAUUUGCACAGGAGAGUGAAGGCUCUUGAGCACUGUGAACGUCAGCUGAAGUCCGAUAUGAAGCCAGGCACACAGAGUGCUUUUAGGUGUUAGUCACACUGAUGAGGGGCUUGAGAGGAGGAAGGGAAAAUGUGGACCAUAAGGCUCCCGUUGGCCUGGUUGGAAAGAAACAUUUACUGUGAUAAACACGGGCAACUUAGUCAAAUGUACCUGCUCGUAUCUCCAGUUUGAAGUACUCUUGCAUGUAUUAGAAUAUGCCCCACCGAAAAUCAGCAGAAAGUCUGUCAAGGGAAACUCCCCUGGCUGGCAGGAAAGGACGUUACUAAGGAUGUCGGCAGGAGAGAAGGAAUGAGUCUCGAUCAGGAGCAGUCAACGCUGGCUGGGCCUCUGCUGCUGGGAUGCUGCUGUCCAAGCCAUAGAUGGCCUCUGCCUGAACUCACCCUGCAAAAAGCAGGAUGGGGAGGAUGGGUACAUGGUGGUUGCUGAUGCACUGCAAACCCCAGCUCUCUUUGGCAAUGUCAUCACUUCAAGUGAUUUCCCGAUUUUGAUCCCUCAGAUCACUUUCUUGGAUAAACAUGCUGAUUAAAAAUAAAUUACCUCUCAACUGAGUGACCUCA
rnacentral:lncRNA from 1 species